AGCGCACCCUUGUCUUAGUUGCCAUCAUUUAAUUGGGAACUCUAAUGGGACUGCCGGUGUUAUACCGGAGGAAAGUGGGGAUGACAUCAAGUCCUCAUGGCCCUUAUAGGGUGGGCUACACACGUGCUACAAUGGCGACUACAGAGGGUUAAUCCUUAACAGUUGUCUCAGUUCAUAUUGUCCUCUGCAACUCAAGGGCAUGAAGUUUGAAUCUCUAGUAAUCGCGGAUCAACAUGCCGCGGUGAAUACAUUCCCGGGCCUUGUACACACCGCCCGU
rnacentral:rRNA from 1 species